GUGUGUGUGUGGAUGGUGUUCAGCACCAGGGACAAGUUUGUGUGUGUGUAUGUUGUUCAGCACCAGGGACAAGUUUGUGUGUGU
rnacentral:pre_miRNA from 1 species